rnacentral:rRNA from 1 species
GACAGAGGGUGCAAACGUUGUUCGGAAUUACUGGGCGUAAAGCGCGUGUAGGCGGUUAUGCAAGUCUGGUGUGAAAGCCCGGAGCUCAACUCCGGAAGUGCAUUCGAUACUGCGUAGCUAGAGUACUGGAGAGGAUGGUGGAACUCUCGGUGUAGAGGUGAAAUUCGUAGAUAUCGAGAAGAACACCGGUGGCGAAGGCGGCCAUCUGGACAGAUACUGACGCUGAGACGCGAAAGCGUGGGGAGCAAACAGG